UGUUUAUAUCAAUGAGAGGGAAACUGAAAAGGUUCUAGUCUUUAUAAUCCGGAAAAAAAAAGAACUGGGAGAUCCGACGGCAACGGAGCCAGGUAGUCCAGAAUCGCCGGUGGAGGUGAGCAAGACCCAUCCGAUCCCGCCUUUGAAAUCAGAUACAGCCGUGAGAGUCAGAGUUACAGCUACGAGCUUGAAUUACGCCAAUUACCUUCAGAUUCUCGGAGGCUCUAAGAGAGGUUGAAUGGUCGACGAGUCCUUGUUCCUUGGCUGAGUUCUUCUCCAGAUUCGCCUUUCCUCGAUCUUUCUCUAAAUGGAUGAGCCGUCUCAAAUGCAAUCUCUACUACUAUAGCACGAAUUACUUCAUCCUGUUGAUUUUCGUUCUGGAUCCUCUUUGUUGACUCGGAGCUUCUCGACAAGGUCGAGUCGUUCGUGGUGAACGAUUCUUCUGAUGAAAUCGAUAAGGCUCGCCGUGCUGUUCUGGUGAUGUGCUUAGCAAUCGCAUCUGCGUUUUGGUUUACUUGUUGCAAUUUGACUGGGUCGACGGAAUGAUCAGCAAAAUGUUUGUUACCGUUUAGAGUAUCAGAAAUUAAAAGCUAUUGGGCUACCGAGUUGCUAGAAGAUGAAGCUUAAUCUAUCACGUCAACCAUCCAUCUGGAAGCAUGUGUACUGCAAUAUAUAUAUGGAAGAAUUGAUCCUUCUCGGUUGCAGCUUGAAGCUGCUAAAUCAGCAGCAGGGAUCGAGUUCUCUGUUUCUGGGGCUCUUGGUCUCCGUACUAUUCACCAAGUAGAUCCAAAGGCACAGAUCGAGACGUGAGGUUGGCCUCCGAGAAAGCUGAUGUUGGACCUUAUGAAGCUUGGGGAGGUGAUGCACCUGAAGUUUUAUUUACCAAUCAUUGUAAUACACUUUGUUAACAAAGCUGUACCAAAAUAUUAAAUAAAUAUAUAUGUUAUGGCUGAAUUAUGUACUUACACGGCUGAAUUAUAAGUAAACAUUAAAUAAACAUAUAUGUUAUGGCUGAGUUAUGUA